rnacentral:rRNA from 1 species
UACGUAGGGUGCGAGCGUUAAUCGGAAUUACUGGGCGUAAAGCGUGCGCAGGCGGUUUUGUAAGUCUGACGUGAAAUCCCCGGGCUUAACCUGGGAAUUGCGUUGGAGACUGCAAGGCUGGAGUCUGGCAGAGGGGGGUAGAAUUCCACGUGUAGCAGUGAAAUGCGUAGAUAUCGAGAGGAACACCAGUGGCGAAGGCGAGUCCCUGGACAACACCUGACACUGAGGCACGAAAGCUAGGGGAGCAAACAGG